CUUUAUAUCUCCGCCCAUUCCACUGCCGCCAUGUCGAACCAAUACUUGCUACUACGCUCUCACCACCCCCGCCCGACGCCGAGAUUCGAUACGAUCCACUUUCCAUCGUCCCCGCAUCACCAUCGCAUCCAUCAUCGCAUCCAUCAACAUGGUGAAGACGGAGCACGCCGGCGACGAGCGGCGGUACCGCGGGGUGCGGAAGCGGAAGUGGGGGCGGUGGGUGUCCGAGAUCCGUCUCCCCAACAGCCGGGAGAGAAUCUGGUUGGGGUCGUAUGAUUCUCCGGAGAAGGCCGCAAGGGCCUUCGACGCGGCCGUGGUCUGCCUCCGCGGCCGCCGCGGCCGCCUCAAUUUCCCCGACGCGCCGCCUCGGAUCUCCGGCGGCGGCUCCCUUAACGCCCGCCAGAUCCAGGCCGCCGCCGCCCGCCACGCGCACAACGACGAUUUCGCAGGCGCCGUGGCGGCGCCAGAGAUGUCUCAGUCGGAGGCCGUUACGGCGGAGAGCGGGGAGGUGCUCGACUGGUCGUUCAUGGACCUGCUGACGGUGCCGGAUGGAGUCGGGAUGAAUUUCUUGGAUGAAUUCGCUUACGAUUUCUUUCCGCCGGCGCCGGCAUCAGCGCCGCCGGAUGUGGCGGAGGAGAACGGAGGGAGUUAUGGGAAACUAACGGCGAGUUUUUUCAGCCGAUGGAUCCUGUGGUCGCCCGCCGGGAGUUUUGAAUCGGGCGGCGGCUGGCUUCCCUAAUUUUUGGAGCUAUUUUGGGUUUAACCAUUUGUUCUUACCCUAGAAUUAAGAUGUUUGCAUGGGUAGAGGAUUAUGUCUCGGAAGAGUAAUAUAUGCAAGGAAAAGAAAUGGUAUCAAAAUACUGUUAAGUCUUAUCUGCCCCGCUUCAUCUUCCUUUCUCUCUCUCUCUUUCUUUCUUUCUUUCUUUUUUACAAAAAUGAAUAAAGAAUGGACAGGGCAGGCCCAGCCAAAUUCCAUCAGGAAUAUCCAGGUACCUCACCUAGAUUAAUUGAUAUUUACAUUCACACUAUUGAUUAUUUUAUUCUUAGUAUCCUUGGUUUUGAUGGACAUUUCAUGUUUACCCCUUGACUGAAUUAAUUGUGUAUAAAAACAAGCCAAACUAUUUGCAAUGAGUUCAACAUAAAAUGGCUAAUUUUUAAGAGUUAAUUAUCCAAUGGUAAUCAAACAAAAGAUCAGAUACUAACUUUUUCUUUGAAGGUUAGCAUGGGUGCCCAGCUCAAGCAAAAUGUCAUGAAAUGGAAUAAAUAUAAGAUGGGUAACCACUUUCAUAAAGAACUCUGAAGGCAUAAGUCACAUGUUCAAUGGCUCUGGGAAGGGGACAUCAAUACGAAGGUUUCCCAUCGAUCAACCAUUAUUUGGAGGAGAUGUCAUAGAAUCUUUGGUAUUAAAAAUGAAUCAGAUCAGUGGUUUCAUGAUGCUCAGGGGGUUUGUGAUAUCCUGCUUAGACAUUUUCGUCUCCCUUGAGACUUUGUUCAUCUUGUAGAUGACUUUUGCUUGCCUCAUUUGCGGAAUAUUCUGACUGCUGUACAGAAUGAAGGCCUUGUAUCUAAAGUAUAGGAGGAUGAAGUUUUUCAAGUUUUGCAAUCUAUGAAUAUGGAGAAGGUUCCAAGGCCUGAUGGCUUUUUUGCA